GAAUGAGAGCAGCUACUUUCUAGUUUACCCUAUUUAAUUCCAUGAUCCUAAACACCUCUGUCAUAUCUUACAUCACCCUUACUGGACGUGUGCUUCAUCGGUGAGGCUAGCACUACUGGGCCUGCUUGCCGAGUUGAAACAUUGAAAUUACUUACUCUCCACAAGGACUGCGUAAUGACCUCUCCUAGUAUCAUGGAUCUGCAAUGAGUAAAUCGAUGUGGAAGUGAUAAGGACUUCCAAAGCCUGAUUAUAGCAGGCACUGGGAAAAACUGGAGCCAUUACACCUGACUGACCAUCUUGCCUGAGAGCACAUGCACACUGGUGCGUGGAAGAAGCAACAUAGCAUAAAGCAACAGCACGAAAUAAAGAUAAUUUAUUCUGUGUAAAAAAUAAAACUUAA